rnacentral:rRNA from 1 species
AUGUGCUUGGAGUUCGCUUCGUGUUUCGGCGGCGGCAGGACGGACGACUACGGCGGCGAGCGGCCCAACCGCAAGGAGGAGCACGGCGGCGCCCGUCGUGGCCGCGACCGCAGAGGGAACCACGGGAGCGCCUACAACGGCCAUGCCGCUGACCACAAACUCCACCGCCAGCCGCCCGCCGCAGUCGACGAGGCCGGGCACAAGGCCUACCACGACGGCCACAGCGGGUACGCCGCCUACGGGCAACACAAGACCAACAUCGAUGCGCCAAAGCUUCCAGCAUGGCAAAAUAAGGUCGGCGACGACGCCUACACGGCGCACCUCCAAGAAGCUGCUGCUGCUGCUGAUCGUAUGAACAACGCUGCCAUGGAUUACCACCUCUACCCAACCAGCACCACUACCACUACUACUACUCUCGGCAGGUACUAG